CACAAAUUCAGAAGCAACACUUUUCAUUUAAAGAGCUAAGUAAAGCACAUACAAAUUAAUAACAUGUAUUUCUAAGAACAAAGGAAAGAAUUACAAUUAAGAACUUUUAACAUCAUUCUAAAUACAUCAAGUCAUCGACUUUGUGGAUUGAUGUGUUUAUUUUAAAGUUUUAAUCCUUUGAAAGUCUUUAUACAAAUCAGUGCUCUUUAAAACUGAUUUGCUAGUAUUAUACUAAUAUAGGGUGAUAAAUUCAUUCCCUACCUAUCGUGAAGUAGCAUUAAGAUGAAACAUAUUUCAUUAACUGUUUUUUGUUUGAGGCAGUUAUGGAUGUUCUAUAUCACUGCCCUUAAUAACCUAUGGCAAAAGAAAAAAAAUUAAAAGGCAAUUAUCGAAAGUUCAUGGCAGCAUUAUUCACUAUAAUCAAGAUAUGGAAACAACCUAUCUACUGAUGGAAAAAUGGAUGGUUAUAUCGUGUGUGUGUAUUUUCUCUUUAAAAUACUGCUCAAAACUCACCUACACAAAAUAUAUGAGGUACCUCUACAUUUCAUUAAGAGGCAAAAUGUAAAUGUGACUUGUACAAAAAUGAAUUUCUGAUGUCUGACUUGGAUUUUCUUUGAAAUUUAGAAUUUGUAACUUCUAGCAGCUAAGGAUUGCCAUGAAAGUAUAACCUCAAGAAGGAAAGGAAAGCUCAUAUAUCAAGGAUAAUUUAAAACUUUGGAAAAAUAAGGCUAUUUUAGAUUUAUAUAAAAUGUCUCCAUGUAUAAAGCACUUUGACAGCCAUUAUAUCAUUUCAUUCUCUCAACAACUCUGUGAGGCUGGCAAGGUAAUGGUAUUUUUCCCAUUUCCCAGAUGAAGAGGCUGAGGCUCCAAAUGCUUUCAUGCCUUGCCUUAGAACAAUGUGCUACUUAAGCUGCAAGACUUGAAUUCUGACCAGCUUUGUCCAGCUCCAAUAAUUCUUUCUACAUCAUCUGCCAGAAGAGCUACACGCAAGAGAUGAAGUGUGAUCAGUUAUUUAAAAUAUCAGAAAUUAAUAAACCCACUACCUUUGCUUUCUAAGUAAAACUUUUUUCCUGGCAUGAAGAAAAAGGUAACCUCGGAAUAUUAAACAUGAUAAAAACUUUUCUUCAUCAGUUUGGUUCUUUUCCAAUUAAAGAGAGUUAACAAACUUGCUGUUGGAGAUGACAGUAAAAUACCCAAAAUGUAAACACACCAAUCAAACCUAUGAGUACAGUCAUAGUCGUUGAAAUUCAGAAUCGUUGUUCCUUGGCUGGUUAAUUAAUAUAAUUUUAAAUAUUUCAUAUGAAAUAAUUUUUUGGAAAAGAAAUGAAAUGAACCUAAGAUUGACUGGAAUUUACAAGCUCAUUUAAAGAAAAGUCUCAGCUAUUUUUUUUCUUAAAAAUGUAAUACCUCCCCAGAUGGUAGUCUUUGUAGUUAGUGGCACCGAUUCAAAAGGCAUAUUAACUGCCACUCUACUAGCUGCAUCAAGCAUUUAUGGCCUCCCUACAGAAUGGGUUCAGCAGUAAUUAAAAUAACACCCUUCCUCAGGGUGAAGUUACACUUGAAGAGUUCGGGGAUGUUUCUCUUUCCUUCCUUUGGGUAAAUUCCUUCUCCCAAAAAUAUGAGAAAAAGAUGAGAGUGGAGAGAGCUUAAGAGAAAGAAGAUGGGAAGAGAGGGAGAGAAGUUUAAAAUAGUACACCAAAGCCUGUGUCACAGAAACUAUGUUAAAAUAUUAGUAUUUCUUCCAUUCCCUACUAGACAUUGAUAGACAAACAGGUUAAAAAAAAAGCAAGGGGGAAAAAUAUCAUUUACUCACUGUAGCAGCAGGAAAUCAAGGAAAGAAAAUAAACAGGGCUUGAAUUGUGGGCCUUUAACCUGCUAGUCAGACAGUUUCAUUCUGU
rnacentral:lncRNA from 1 species